rnacentral:tRNA from 1 species
GGGGUUGUGGCUUAGCGGUAGAGCAUUCACCUCGAACAUGCAAGGCUCUGGGUUCGAUCCUCAGCACCA